GACGAACGCUGGCGGCGUGCUUAACACAUGCAAGUCGAACGGAAAGGCCCUGCUUUUGUGUGGUGCUCGAGUGGCGAACGUGUGUGUAACACGUGAGUAACCUGCCCUUGACUUUGGUAUCACUUCAGGAAACUUGGGCUAAUACCGUAUAGUAGCUCCUGCUGCAUGGUGGGGGUUGGAAAGUUUCGGCGGUUGGGGAUGGACUCGCGUGUUAUCAGCUUGUUGGUGUGGUAGUGGCUUACCAAGGCUUUGACGGGUAGCCGGCCUGAGAGGGUGACCGGCGACAUAGGGACAGAGAUACGCGCCAGACACCUACGGGAGGGAGAAGUGGGGAAAAUUGCACAAAGGGCGGAAGACUGAUGCAGAAAAGCCGCGUGCGGGAUGACGGCGUUCGGGUUGUAAAACGUUUUCGCAGGUGACGAAGAGUGAGUGACGGUAAUGGGUAAAGAAGCAACGGCUAACUACGUG
rnacentral:rRNA from 1 species